rnacentral:rRNA from 1 species
AGUGAACGCUGGCGGUAGGCCUAACACAUGCAAGUCGAACGGCAGCACAGGAGAGCUUGCUCUCUGGGUGGCGAGUGGCGGACGGGUGAGGAAUACAUCGGAAUCUACUCUGUCGUGGGGGAUGACGUAGGGAAACUUACGCUAAUACCGCAUACGACCUACGGGUGAAAGCAGGGGACCUUCGGGCCUUGCGUGAUUGAAUGAGCCGAUGUCGGAUUAGCUAGUUGGCGGGGUAAAGGCCCACCAAGGCGACGAUCCGUAGCUGGUCUGAGAGGAUGAUCAGCCACACUGGAACUGAGACACGGUCCAGACUCCUACGGGAGGCAGCAGUGGGGAAUAUUGGACAAUGGGCGCAAGCCUGAUCCAGCCAUACCGCGUGGGUGAAGAAGGCCUUCGGGUUGUAAAGCCCUUUUGUUGGGAAAGAAAUCCAGCUGGCUAAUACCCGGUUGGGAUGACGGUACCCAAAGAAUAAGCACCGGCUAACUUCGUGCCAGCAGCCGCCGUAA